rnacentral:lncRNA from 1 species
UAUCAACCUUACUUAGCUUUAUCUGCCUAUAAAACCAACCUCUUUUACUGAGUCCAUUGAAACACUCAUUCUAUUCCUUAGAACAAAUUUAGUCACCUAUCCUAAGAUGGAAAAUAAAGCCACGUAAGAUAUUCCAACUAGCAUGUCAUUUUGUCCAUUGUUGAAGGCAGCCUCUGAUUGUAUGUGACCUAUAAUAAUAACAGGCAUAUGCAACCAUGCCAUUGGAGCCUUCAGCACUGCUCUCUCCAUUUCUUUGAUAAGAGACUUGGUAUGGAAAGGUUGAUAAUAUCCUUUGAUGCUCCAAGGAAAUGGACUGGCCAUCAACAUUUUUCAUGAUCAAGAUGAGGAUCAGUUUGAUCACACUGGAUCACACUUGGGACAGCUGUGGUGAUUGAUGACUCAGGACCAGCUCUAGGUGUGCUUGGGGAACAUGAGAUGCCCUGGCAUCUUAAUUCUGUCCUGCAGGACCUAGGACUUCCAGGACACUAAGAACAAUGCCCAUCAACCUUAUGCAGUCCUCACCUCCCAACUUGACCAUUGUGAAGUUGAGACUUUACUAGACUCACCCAGAUCUUUAAUCUGGGCUGAAACAAUUUUUCUUUGCAUCUCAGCUGUUGAUUGCUAAGAGCCAGAGUGAACUUUCCCCCAGUGGGCCAUAGAUUCUGUUGCAUUUGCUUAGAAGUGUUUACUCUUGACCCACCAUUAGCAACAAACUCACCAUGAUGUAGUUUUCCUCUCUUGUGACUUUGAACCACAGACCACAUUCCAUUUGCUUUGAACAUUUAAUACUGAAUCAAACCUGGAAUCAAAUAGAUGUAGACAGAAAGAAACAUUAGGUGGUAUAAGACAGGAGAAAGCGAUACUCUGAAAGAUAGGCUGAUGUCAUAAGGAUGUCCAGCUGUGGGCGUGGAAAAGGAGCACUUUGAAUAACAGCUUAAUCGAGGGUGAGGAAUGGCAGGAAAUAAGUUGAAAAAAAGGUGUGGGAAGUGUUUUCUGGAAUCCAGACUCAAUCAAUACUAUUGAAUCCAGACUCAAUCAAUAGUAUUUCUUAAAAAUUAAACACAUCUGUCCUUCAAGGUGCUACCCAGUUACACUGUGAAACAGUAGAAUUAAGGGCUGGGCUGAGGAUGCAGCUGAGUGAUAGAGCGGGGGCGGGUGUGUGUGUGUGUGUGUGUGUGUGUGUGUGUGUGUGUGUGUGGCAAGGGCUUAGCAGGAACAUGACAGAAAGGCUUAGUGUUUUUAUUGUGUGGUGGCUUAGAGGGGCCACAGAAUGCCUGUGUUUCCUUGUUUCUUGUUGGCACUGUAGGAUGAAAUGCAGUGUUGAUGAAGCGAUGGUUCUUAAGGAGAGCUGUCAGUUUUAAUGGUUCUUUAUUACAUGUAAGUACACUGUAGCUGUCUUCAGACACUCCAGAAGAGGGAGUCAGAUCUGGUUACAGAUGGUCGUGAGCCACCAUGUGGUUGCUGGGAUUUGAACUCUGGACCUUCGGAAGAGCAGUCGGGUGCUCUUACCCACUGAGCCAUCUCACCAGCCCAGUUUUAAUGGUUCUUAAAGAGAGUCAUCAUUUUUAAAGGCAGGACAUCGCUACCAAAGAUUCUGAAAGGCGGCACUGAGGGAGAUUGGCGGAAGUGCACUGGUCACUCAUUAGUUCCUGUCACUUGUGGAUGUAUCACUGAUCACUCUCAAUAGGAAAAUGAAGUGCUUUGCUUUUGUUUUCCAAAGAAAAUGAACACAAUAAUGUGGUAUCAUUCUGAGGCCGUUAGGUAAGAACUGAAGUAAUGUGUGGAAGUGUAAUAUAUAUAUAUAUAUACAUAUAUAUAUAUAUAUAUGUAUGUAUAUGUAUAUGUAUUAGCAGACAGAUACAGUUCUGCCCUUAAGAAGCAUAUGUAGAGAAAAUGCCACCUUGGAAAAUAAUGCAGUAAUUGGACAGUACUAAACUCUCAAAAAGAUUUAUUAUAACAUUGUUAUUGGCACUAAAAUUGGGAGCAAACUCAGUGCUUAAAAAACUCAGGAAAUGAAACCCAGUUUGGUAGCACAUACCUUUAGUCCCCAGAGCCUUGGAGACAGAGGCAAGCUAAUCUCUGAGUCUGAGGCCAGCAUGAUCUACAAAACAAGUUCCAGGACUGCCAGAACUACGUGGAGAAAGUGGAGAGACCCUGUCUCAAAACACAAACAACAAACAAUCAGACAAAAAUCUUACUGAUCUCAUAAAAUGAAUAUAGACAGUGAACAAAGUAUUUGUGAGGAGUGUGAGAAGACUGUUUAUGCUGUUCUAUGUUGUCAUUUAAAUAUGGAAUAUCCCCUAAAGGCUUAUGUUUUUGAACACUUGGCCCCUAAAUGGACUUUGUAGGCUUAGCCUGUCUACUCUCUGAUUCUUGACUGUUGAAGCACUGGGACUAACUGCCGUGUUUUUCUGUUUCCAUACCUUCCCUGCCACAAUGAAAGGUGCCAUAAACUUUAAAGCAAAUAAGUCCUUCCUUUCACCAGUUGCGUUUCCAGGUACUUUGUCAGAGGAAUGAGAAAACCCACCUACUUAAGCAUAGAGUACAUACUUGUGUACAGUUGACUAAUUGCUAUGAGACAGUAAUGAGAAAGG